GUUUAGAGAAGUUAGAGACUGUGGUGGGAGUUUUCAGGUGUGUCAGGAAACAUUUAGGCAUACAGACAGAAGGUGGCUGCUUUGGCCAGUCAUUAUUCUGCACCAGAGUGCUGGGAUUUCCCUUCAGCUCUUGUUUUUACUCGAUUUGAUGACUUCUUGGCUCAUGUUUUACACUUGAAAGCCCUUUUCUCCACUAUGCUGGAGUUCCAAAGGUUGGAGAAGCUGGUUUUUGGAGGUCUCAGAGGAAGGGUUUACACUGAGCAGGUCUCUCGACUACAUACAGAGUUUCUCCAGCUCUGCAAAACCAUAAGGGAUCAAGAAUACAAUCCAUCUGACCUGACUGCUCAGAUUUUUCAGGAUUGGAAUCAGUUUUCAAACUGGUCGCUGUGCUCAAAGCCCUCUUGGAAAGAGAC
ensembl:lncRNA